AUCAAUCUGAGAAUAGAGCCCAACAAGGUGAGCAGCAACAUGCAAUAGACUCCAACUUGACUGAAACAUGCCUAACAAGUUCCCUAAUCACUAGCUCUUCAUUCCUGUAAUUCUUCAUGUCCCAACUAGAAAGAUUGGGAAUUUCUUUCAACCCAUUUCUCCAUUGUUGUUGUGUGGGUGAGAAAAAGGCGGUGGAAUCAAUAAGAGCUUUGUUGAGAUGGG
rnacentral:lncRNA from 1 species